rnacentral:rRNA from 1 species
UAUUUUAUUAAAAAUAAUUAUAUAAUUAAAAUUUAUAGUAUUGUAUAAAAAAAUAAUAAUUUUUAUAAUAGUAUAUUAGUAUUGUGAAAUAAAAUUGAAAUAAUUUGAAAAAUUUUUAUAAAAAAAGAAAAUUUAAUUUAUUGUACCUUUUGUAUCAGGGUAUAUCUAAUAAAUUUUAUUUUUAAAUAAUUUUCUCGAUUUUAAAAGAUUUAAUAAAUUAUAAAAGUUAUUGUAAUAAAAUUAUUUUUAAUAAUUUAUUAGAAAUGAAAUGUUAUUCGUUUUUAAUGGUAUCUAGUUUUUUUAGAAUUAAAUUUAAUUUAGAAAUAUUUAUAAAAAUAUUUAAAUUUUUAAUAAUUUUAAUUAAAUAUUUUAAAAUUAUAUGGGAUAAGCUAUAUAAUUUUUAUUAUAAAUUAUUAAAUUAAUAUAAUAAAUAUAUGCUUAUAAAUAGCAAUUAUUAAUAAUUAUGUUAUAAUUUAUAUUAUAAAUUAUAUGAUUUAGUAUAUUUUAAUUUUUUAUAAAAAUUUAUAUAAUAAUUAAUUUUAUAUAGAAAUAAUGAUAUAAUUAGUAUAUUUAUUUUGUAAUAAUAAAAUAAAUUGUUAGGUUAAAUUAAAGAAUUCGGCAAAAUUUAAUAUUCGCCUGUUUAACAAAAACAUGUCUUUUUGAAUUUAAUAUAAAGUCUAACCUGCCCACUGAAAAAUUUUAAAUGGCCGCAGUAUCUUAACUGUGCAAAGGUAGCAUAAUCAUUAGUCUUUUAAUUGAAGGCUGGUAUGAAUGGUUGAACGAAAUAUUAACUGUUUCAAUUUAAUUUUAUUUAGAAUUUUAUUUUUUAGUUAAAAAGCUAAAAUUUAAUUAAAAGACGAGAAGACCCUAUAAAUCUUUAUAAUUAUUAUUUUAUUAAUAUAUUGAUAAUUUAAUUAAUAAUAAAUUUAAUUAUUUUAUUGGGGUGAUAUUAAAAUUUAAUAAACUUUUAAUUUUUAUUAAACAUUAAUUAUUGAAUAAUUGAUCCAUUAUUAUGAUUAAAAAAUUAAGUUACUUUAGGGAUAACAGCGUAAUUUUUUUAGAGAGUUCAUAUUGAUAAAAAAGAUUGCGACCUCGAUGUUGGAUUAAGAUAUAGAUUUAGGUGCAGUAGUUUAAAUCUUAAGUCUGUUCGACUUAUAAUUUCUUACAUGAUCUGAGUUCAGACCGGCGUAAGCCAGGUUGGUUUCUAUCUUUAAUAAAAUAAAUAUUUUAGUACGAAAGGACCAAAUAUUUGAAUUAUAAAUUUGAAAAAUUGAUUAUUAUUAAU